rnacentral:rRNA from 1 species
AAUCUUGGUCAAUGGGCGCAAGCCUGAUCCAGCCAUGCCGCGAGAGUGAAGAAGGCCUUCUGGUUGUAAAGCCCUUUCGGACGGAAAGAAAGCGCCGAGGCUAAUACCCUCCGCGGAUGACGGCACCGGCAUAAGAAACACCGGCUAACUACAUGCCAGCAGCCGCGGUAAUACGUAGGGUGCGAGCGUUAAUCGGAAUUACUGGGCGUAAAGCGUGCGCAGGCGGUUGAUUAAGACAGGCGUGAAAUCCCCGGGCUUAACCUGGGAACUGCGCUUGUGACUGGUCAGCUAGAGUACGGCAGAGGGGGGUGGAAUUCCACGUGUAGCGGUGAAAUGCGUAGAGAUGUGGAGGAACACCGAUGGCGAAGGCAGCCCCCUGGGCCGAUACUGACGCUCAUGCACGAAAGCGUGGGUAGCAAACAGGA